CCCCCAAAAUGCCCCAAAUUCCCCCAAAAAUCUCAAAAUUCCACCCGAAAAUUUCAAAUUUCCCCCCAAAACCCCAAAUUUUCCCCCUAAAUCCCCCAAAUUCUUCCCAAAAAUCCCCAAAAUUCCCCAAUAAUCCCCAAAAUUCCUCCCAAGUAUUUCAAAUUUUCCCCCAAAAUCUCAAAAUUCCGCCCAAAAAUUUGAAAUUUCCCCCCGAAAAUCUCAAAAUCCUCCCCAAAAUCCCCAGAUUUCCACCCAAAAAUCCCCAAAAAUUUCAGAUUUCUCCCCCAAACCCCCAAAUUUCCACCCAAAAAGCCCCAAAAUCCCCCGAUUUCCCCCCAAAAUCCCGAACCUGCGUCCGCCGCCGCCUCCGGCUCCCCAAAAUCCCGUCGGGGCCCCUCCCCCACCCAGGAAACCGCGGCCGCCGUGGGGCAGGAAAUGUGUGGGGUGGGGGAGGGGCGGAGAGAGACGCCGAGAAAAAUUUGGGGGGGUCUGGAAUUUAUUGGGGGGGUCCGGGACCCCCAAAUGUGGGGCUGGGGUCCCAAAUGUGGGGCUGG
rnacentral:lncRNA from 1 species